UUAUUACUUGAGUGUUUUGUUUAUAAUAUUUUCACUAUCAAUGUAAUAGUUUGUAAAUACCUAAUCACAAUGUGAUUCCAGCUGAAUUACAUGAUUUUAUUGUGUCACCUAAAAAUGCGUGACCUAGAUCUCUGUACCUUGCAGUUGUGUUGUAAAGCGGUUGUAAAGUCCUUUUCAUGAGCAUUUUUCAGUGCGUCACAAAUGAUAGAAAAAAGAAAAGUCACGUGACAACAGUGAAUCAACCCUGCCGACUUCUAAGACUGGCUUGGCACUAGUAAUUUGUCUGUUCAACCUGCACAUACCACAUUAAUAGAGAAGAAAAGUUCUGCGAUUUGGUAGAUUUUUCUAAAAUUGAUAUGGACUUUGGAGUGGCAUUUGGAAAUGGAAAUUGACUUAUUGAUGGAUCGGACAUCAAUUUCGAAAGAAUUAUUUCCUUUCUUCAGUGUGAAAGUCAUAUCAAGGAAAAACAAAUAAAUUUUAUUUGAAAAGGCUACCCAUGAAAACAUUACGGAAGAUGGCAAACAAAAACAUGCAAAUUCUUCUUUGGGUUCCACAUGGAAAUUUUGUGUCAACUAAUAAAAUGGUCAAAAAGAGAUCUUAAUGGACAAACAUAUAUAAUAAAAUAUACCAUCAGAGAUUCCCAGGAAUCAUUCUUACACGUCGGGAAGGUCCAGCAAGAAGUGUAAGACCAUAUUACAUUUUUGAAAUCAAAGAAAAAUGACAUUCAACCAUUAAUUACUGCCAGAGGGAUAUGUGUAUAUUUUGACGAUAUCAGGUAUACAUUUUAUAUUUAUUUAAUCUGGAUUUUCCUUCUGAGUCAGAAAUGUUCUGGAAUUUUAUUGAAUAUUUUAUAUUUUUUUAAUACAAGGUAAUUGCUCUUUUUCUUUCAGAAAAAUAGUUUAGAUAAUCUAAUAACCAAUAAGUCUAAAAUUAUAUCCAAUAAAUAUUGAUUCUACAUAUUUAUAAUUUUUUAUGUUGUUCAUUAUUAUUAAAAAAUAACACAGUUAUAUACAAUAUACAAUAUACUUAUAGAGAAACAGAAAUUUUCUGAAAUUUCAGAACUUUUUAAAUAUUUUCAUCCUGUUUGAUUUUUGUAUAAAAUAAGAAGAAUCAAUUUCUGCUACAUAUAUCUAGUUAUUCAAUUUUUUUCCAAAUUAAAUGACAACAAGAGGUGUGUUAAUUAAAUAUAUUUUUUUUUUCUUUAAAUUUAUAGAUACUUAAUUAUAAUUUGAGAGUCUGCAAAAAAUCGUUGAUUACUAUAU